rnacentral:lncRNA from 1 species
ACUGUGCACAACGGCUCUAUUUUUGUCUCUAACGGCUAGAUUUUUGUUUCCACUCUCUCUAAAGCUAUAAAAUCAAGGGGAGAGCUAGGGAAGAAGGUAUGGAAGUGGGAGAGAACAUUUAGAGAAGAGAUCUCAAAGAGAUUACAAGGAAAAUCCUCCAUAAGCACAAAAGGGCCAUCCAAAGCGAAAUAGAGAGAAGAAGAGAAUCCAAGUGAAUCCCAAAGCUUCCUCUCCAUCCGUGUGCUG